GGCGUGGCCAAGCGGUAAGGCAGCGGGUUUUGGUCCCGUUACUCGGAGGUUCGAAUCCUUCCGCCCCAAA
rnacentral:tRNA from 1 species